UAAUAACAAAAAAACAAUAAAACACAAAGUUAAUUAGGAUUAGAAGAUCAGAGAACACCACAAAAAGAGGAUUAGGGUUCUCCAUUGGACGGGAAAAAGAGAAGACAGAAGAAAAAAAUACACGGUGAGGGAAGAGAGACAGAGAGUGAUGAAGAGAAGAAAAGAAAGGAAGAACUGCCAUCAAAGGAGGAAGAAGAGAAAGAAGGAGAAGAAGACGACGGAGAGAGAAGUUGCCACCGCCACUUUCUUCACCUCCAGCGCCGUCUCUGCCUUGCGCUGUUGUUGUUGUUUCUACCUUGCGCUGCCAGAUCUGCCACUACUGUAAUCCCUCGUCUCUGCUCGCCGUCGUCAUGUUUCUCAUUGCUCGAGCUCACGCCUUGUUCUGCUAUGCUCCGUCGUGUUUUUCUGCUCGCGCCGUUCUGAAACAUGUGCUCUGCUCCGCGUUCUGAAACCUUUGCUCUGCUCCACCGUGGUGCCGUGCUCUAUCCUCUCAGGCAAAUCGACAACUCUCCGCUGUUCACCUCUUUCACUCAAGCCUUUCGCCUCAGCCUCGGCCCUCAGCAUCUCUUCCUCCAUCGUCGUCGUUGAAGGCUUGUAGAUUGAUUUUACAUACUACUUGAUUAAUUUAGUUGAAUUGUUGAAUUAAUAACAAUAGUUCCAUUUCGAGUUCGAUCAUGUCGAAGGACAAAGACUUUACCGAUGUUUCGCUCACCUUCAAAUACCUCUUAGGCAUCUUAUGGCUCUGUGUUUUCCUCUGAAGGUUAUCAAAGAAGUGUUACUAAUGGUAAGCUUCAAAAAAAGAUGAAUGAUGAAAAAAAAAAGAUUACAAGCAAUCCAACUCUGAAGCCCGUGGCCGACUUUGUCCAUCUCCUCCGCAAACAAAAGCACUUACUUGUCUGGUCUGAUUUUCAUGUAAGAGACGGCAUUGCCAUAUACAUUUACAAACCUUAUAAAAGAAUGAAAAUUGAUGCUAGAAGAAAGGCAGAGGCAUCAAGCAAUAGCCAAUUUCUUGCAAACAUGAGCCAUGAAUUGAGGACACCUAUGGCUGCAAUAAUUGGGCUACUUGACAUUCUUAUGUCCAACGACUGUCUAACCAACGAACAGUGUGCAACGGUUACUCAGAUAAGAAAAUGCUCGACGGCGCUGCUCCGGCUUCUUAAUAACAUCCUGGAUCUCAGCAAGGUGACAUAUUUAAUUAUUUUGCUCAAGAACAUUCAAUUAUAAGUUCCUUGAAAAAAAUAUGCACUUACUUGUUUGGAAAAACUUUCUAAAGAUUCAUAGAAUAUAGGUGGAAUCAGGAAAGCUAGUUCUAGAAGAUGCUGAAUUCAACUUGGGAAGGGAACUUGAAAGGCUAGUGGAUAUGUAUUCGUUACUUUACGCGAAGCAUAUUAAUAUUUGCCAUCAUGUUAUCUUAUAUUGUAUUACAUAAAGUGUUAAACACCAUCUUAAAUUAUUGAAAAGCACCGUUAAAAAUGUGAUUUUAACAUCCUUUUAUAUAUUUCUUUUAUUUUUUUUAAGUAUGUUAUACAAAGUGUUUUCUAUAAAUAUACGCAGGCUUUAAUAAUACACAUUAUAGUUCCUGUAUGUGGUCUUUAGACAUGUUUUGUCAUUUCAUCUUAUCUUUAAUUUGAUCUCCUUAAUGCAUCUAGAUGUUAGUACCUGUCAUACUUUGAGACAAUUUUCAUUAAGUGUUGCAGAUUGGGCAGUAGUUUUGCUUUAGAUCAAAUGUUGAUUUUGCUUAUAUCAUAAAAUGAGAGGGUGAUAAAUUAAAUCUCUAAUUAACUUGACUGUUGACAGAGUUGAUGUUAGUCUAUGUUGAGAAGGUAUUUUGGCACUCAUCAAUAGAUUAUUAGCAAUUGUAGUUUGUAUUUAUACAAAAUAUACAAAUUCAUAUAUAUUACUCAAAUAUACUAAUUUGUGAAAGAUGAAAGAAGCAGCAACAUGUUGAUAGCUUGAGUAAUUAGUAGAAAGGAAACCUUAUCUGAUAUGAAGUGAGGCACAACCAUGCAUUGUGUAGACAAAUAGUGUUAAGUAUCAAGUUUGACCAAUCAAACUUGGCACAUGACGUCAGUUUGUAGGUUAAUUAAUGGUCCAAAAUCCUUGUGGAGAAUAUCAUCUCAUAGAGGAAGAGAAUCCAAUCCGUUAAAAUAGUUAGAAGCUCCUAUUAACUCAUGUAUCCACCCUUGGUUUUAGUUUCAGUUUGAAGAUUCUCUGAACCCUUGUGCACUGUGGUAGGUGAUGGCCUUAUCAAGCUCACAUAUACAAAGGUUCCUCUUGGGCAAGCUCCAUAGUUUCAGUUCCAACUUGAUAAUUCACUAUAUGGUCUGCAGAUACUUAAUAAGAAGUGGAUCUGUUGUUUUUUAAAUUUUCUAAAUGGAAUCCUAUGUGAAUGAAAACACCUCAUUUAUGCUGAUCCUGUUUUGAAUGUUGGAAAACAUAAAGUUUUUAGUCUUGUUCUAUUUCAGGUUCUUUUGUCAAUUUGCUCAAUGUUGACGGAUCCCAACUCUGAUGAUCCUCUUGUCCCUGAAAUUACGCACAUGUACAAGACUGACAGGGCUAAGUAUGAAGCUACUGCACGUAGCUGAACACUAAGUGCAAAUUGUGCAUAUAGAAAAAUUGUUGCGGCAUGACCUCCUGACACAGGUUAAGAAUUAUUGAUUUAAUAGGGAAGUUUGAUGUUACUCGCACAUAGUUAUUAGGGGAGUAUAACAAUGGCUACUGCAGCAGUUAUUGGACUCAGUGGAGGCAAGAGGAUUUUGAGUUCAUCAUACCAUUACUCUGAUGUUACCGAAAAGCUUUCAUUUGGCACUGAUUUUAGAUCCACACACUAUCAGAUUGUUCCAACAAAGUUAAGCAUGGAUAUAAAAUAUGCAAGUAGAUUGACAUCUUUUUGAUAAAUAUUAAUUACUAUUUUGUUACGAUAAUUAUUGUUAGACAAGAAUUUUAUUAUUUUGUUGAGAAUUAUUGAUGAACAUGUAUUUGAAAUACUAAUUGAACUUUUUAA